rnacentral:rRNA from 1 species
GUUAUAUGGUCAAGCGAAUAAGCGCACACGGUGGAUGCCUUGGCGGUCAGAGGCGAUGAAGGACGUGGCAGCCUGCGAAAAGUAUCGGGGAGCUGGCAACAAGCUUUGAUCCGGUAAUGUCCGAAUGGGGAAACCCACCCGCUUGCGGGUAUCCUGCAGUGAAUACAUAGCUGCUGGAAGCGAACCUGGUGAACUGAAAUAUCUAAGUAACCAGAGGAAAAGAAAUCAACCGAGAUUCCGUAAGUAGCGACGAGCGAACGCGGACUAGCCCUUAAGCUGAUUUGGUUCUAGGAAAACGCUCUGGAAAGAGCGGCCAUAGAAGGUGAUAGCCCUGUAUCUGAAAGGGCCAUUUCAGUGAAGACGAGUAGGGCGGGGCACGUGAAACCCUGUCUGAACAUGGGGGGACCAUCCUCCAAGGCUAAAUACUACUGACCGACCGAUAGUGAACCAGUACCGUGAGGGAAAGGCGAAAAGAACCCCGGAGAGGGGAGUGAAAUAGAACCUGAAACCGUGUGCGUACAAGCAGUAGGAGCUCCGCAAGGAGUGACUGCGUACCUUUUGUAUAAUGGGUCAGCGACUUACUGUUCGUGGCAAGCUUAACCGUAUAGGGGAGGCGAAGGGAAACCGAGUCUGAUAAGGGCGCAUAGUCGCGGGCAGUAGACCCGAAACCGGGUGAUCUAGUCAUGCCCAGGGUGAAGGUGCGGUAACACGCACUGGAGGCCCGAACCCACUCCCGUUGCAAAGGUAGGGGAUGAGGUGUGAUUAGGAGUGAAAAGCUAAUCGAACCCGGAGAUAGCUGGUUCUCCUCGAAAGCUAUUUAGGUAGCGCCUCAUAUGUAUCCUCUCGGGGGUAGAGCACUGUUAUGGCUAGGGGGUCAUCGCGACUUACCAAACCAUUGCAAACUCCGAAUACCGAGACGGACUGUAUGGGAGACACACGGCGGGUGCUAACGUCCGUCGUGAAAAGGGAAACAACCCAGACCCACAGCUAAGGUCCCAAAUUUUGUGCUAAGUGGAAAACCAUGUGGAAAGGCACAGACAGCCAGGAGGUUGGCUUAGAAGCAGCCACCCUUUAAAGAAAGCGUAAUAGCUCACUGGUCGAGUCGGUCUGCGGGGAAGAUUUAACGGGGCUAAGCACAGAACCGAAGCUUGGGGUGCAUAACUUUGUUAUGCGCGGUAGAGGAGCGUUCCGUAAGCCGUUGAAGGUGGAUUGAGAAGUCUGCUGGAGGUAUCGGAAGUGCGAAUGCUGACAUGAGUAACGAUAAUGCGGGUGAAAAACCCGCACGCCGAAAGCCCAAGGUUUCCUUGCGCAACGUUAAUCGGCGCAGGGUGAGUCGGCCCCUAAGGCGAGGACGAAAGUCGUAGUCGAUGGGAAGCAGGUUAAUAUUCCUGCACCUCGCGUAAGUGCGAUGGAGGGACGGAGAAGGUUAGGUGUACCAGGCGUUGGUUGUCCUGGGGAAAGGCGGUAGGUUUGGAUCUUUGGCAAAUCCGGGAUCCUUUAAGACCGAGCACCGAGACGAGCCUUUAAGGCGAAGUCACUGAUACCACGCUUCCAGGAAAAGCUCCUAAGCUUCAGCUUACGCAGACCGUACCGUAAACCGACACAGGUGGGUAGGAUGAGAAUUCUCAGGCGCUUGAGAGAACUCGGGUGAAGGAACUAGGCAACAUGGCACCGUAACUUCGGGAGAAGGUGCACCCUUUUUGGUGGCUCAUGCGAGCUAUAGCUGAAGAGGGUCGCAGUAACCAGGCCGCUGCGACUGUUUAUCAAAAACACAGCACUCUGCAAACACGAAAGUGGACGUAUAGGGUGUGACGCCUGCCCGGUGCUGGAAGGUUAAUUGAUGGGGUCAGCCGCAAGGCGAAGCUCUUGAUCGAAGCCCCAGUAAACGGCGGCCGUAACUAUAACGGUCCUAAGGUAGCGAAAUUCCUUGUCGGGUAAGUUCCGACCUGCACGAAUGGCGUAACGACAGCGGCGCUGUCUCCACCCGAGACUCAGUGAAAUUGAAAUCGCUGUGAAGAUGCAGCGUUCCCGUGGCAAGACGGAGAGACCCCGUGAACCUUUACUAUAGCUUUACACUGAACGUUGAGUUCGUCUGUGUAGGAUAGGUGGGAGGCUAUGAAACCAUGGCGCUAGCUGUGGCGGAGCCAUCCUUGAAAUACCACCCUGUCGUGCUUGACGUUCUAACCUGGGCCCAUUAUCUGGGUCGGGGACCGUGUAUGGUGGGUAGUUUGACUGGGGCGGUCUCCUCCUAAAGAGUAACGGAGGAGCUCGAAGGUACGCUCAGCGCGGUCGGACAUCGCGCACUGUGUGCAAAGGCAUAAGCGUGCUUGACUGCAAGAUCGACGGAUCAAGCAGGUAGGAAACUAGGACUUAGUGAUCCGGUGGUUCUGUAUGGAAGGGCCAUCGCUCAACGGAUAAAAGGUACUCCGGGGAUAACAGGCUGAUACCGCCCAAGAGUUCAUAUCGACGGCGGUGUUUGGCACCUCGAUGUCGGCUCAUCACAUCCUGGGGCUGUAGUCGGUCCCAAGGGUAUGGCUGUUCGCCAUUUAAAGUGGUACGCGAGCUGGGUUCAGAACGUCGUGAGACAGUUCGGUCCCUAUCUGCCAUGGGCGUUGGAGAUUUGAGAGGGGCUGCUCCUAGUACGAGAGGACCGGAGUGGACGAACCUCUGGUGUUCCGGUUGUCACGCCAGUGGCAUUGCCGGGUAGCUAUGUUCGGAAGCGAUAACCGCUGAAAGCAUCUAAGCGGGAAGCGCGCCUCAAGAUGAGAUCUCCCGGGGCACAAGCCCCCUGAAGGAACCAUGUAGACUACGUGGUUGAUAGGUCAGGUGUGUAAGUACAGCAAUGUAUUGAGCUAACUGAUACUAAUGAUCCGUGCGGCUUGACCAUAUAACCU